CCUACGGGAGGCAGCAGUGAGGAAUAUUGGUCAAUGGGCGGGAGCCUGAACCAGCCAAGUCGCGUGAGGGAAGACGGUCCUAUGGAUUGUAAACCUCUUUAGUCGGGGAGCAAUGCCGGGCACGUGUGCCCGGAGGGAGAGUACCCGCAGAAUAAGCCUCGGCUAACUCCGUGCCAGCAGCCGCGGUAAUACGGAGGAUGCGAGCGUUAUCCGAUUUUAUUGGGUUUAAAGGGUGCGUAGGCGGAUUUUUAAGUCAGCGGUAAAAUGUCCGGGCUCAACCCGGGCCGGCCGUUGAAACUGGGGAGCUUGAGUGGGCGAGAAGUAGGCGGAAUGCGUGGUGUAGCGGUGAAAUGCAUAGAUAUCACGCAGAACUCCGAUUGCGAAGGCAGCAUACCGGAGCCCGACUGACGCUGAGGCACGAAGGCGUGGGGAUCGAACAGGAUUAGAUACCCUGGUAGUC
rnacentral:rRNA from 1 species